UUCCUAUCCGCACGAAUCUCAUCGUCUCCUGCAAAUUUACAAAGGUUUUUUACUCAUUUAGUUGCAUUAAUUAAUUCAACGCUAUGACCUUCCGAUUCCUUUUCUCCAACUCAUUCCCUACUGAUGUAAAUAUAUAGUGAUGGCGGUGAAGUUCAAUCCCUAAUCGUAACUGUUGGGUACUAGUGCUAUCCGAAGUUGGUGGGCUCAACGAAAGCUUCACCCUUUCUGAAUAAAUGGCGACUCCUUUAGGCCGACUGCAGGAAAUUGGUUAAAAGGGGCUCAAGUCCUGGAGCACAGAAGGUAUCAACAAUGGCGUAUGAAUCAGAAACCGUGAAAUUGUUGAAUCUAUAAUAUAUAUAUGCUAUCAAUAAAAAAUCUUCACAUCGCCUCUUUUUCUUUUAUUUGCUUCAAGGAUUUGAAAUUGUGAAAGCAUGUUUUGUGACGCGGUGGACUCUCCUUUAGUUGAUGUCUAUUCCAUUUACUCAUAACUCUACAUCUAUUGUAUUCUUGGGAACACGAAGGUCAAAAUAUUGAUGAAUGUGGAAGUUUGAUAAAGGAAAAUUAGUAACAUCGUAUAGUUUGUGAUCUUCUUUUUGAUCUGACAAUAGUUGGUCGAAACUUUUUCAUGGAAGCUCUUAUGUCUUUGGGGGAAGAUAAUGGCUCUGGAGGAGUCUUUCGCUGCAUGUUUAGCGGAACGAACCGGGAAAAGUCGUGUCUUCAACAUUCUUUGGCAUUGUUGGAUUUGAUAUUUAUCUAGCAGCGAGGAAAUCAAGAAAAUGUAGAAAUUCAGUUUGUGGAUUACAUAUAUCAUGCACUUGAUCCGGAUGAUGAACGACACCAACCAAAUCAGAAGUAGAGCUGAUCAGGCAUGUCAUUUGUUCUGAAGCAAUUUAGCAUCACUUUUGGAUCGUCGAAUAAUCACCGCUUUGUUUUUGCGUACUAUCUCAAACCUGACAUAGAUUCUAUGAAAUUUUUUUUUGAAGUUAUUCUAUAUCUAUCAUAUUUGUUUCUAACUGUUUAAUAAGGUCUUGAAAGUCCAUUACCACAAAACAAAAAUUUAUAAUGGACCCCUGAUUUCAAGUUAUGGGCUCUCCAACAAGAAAAUCCGGCAUUGAGUAUACUCUCAAGAAGCUACUGCAGCUUACCACAAACGAAGAGGCCUUCGAUGCUCUCAAAACCAAGACUGUUGACUUGGUCUUAACUGCUCAUUCUACUCAAUUUGUUCCAAAUGUUUUGAAGAUCUGUAGAACUCUUCCAAGUCCCUGAUACUUUAAUUCUUGUGACUUUGUUUUGUUGAUGUGUUUUGUAAGACUGUUAUCAGGAUUCGUGAUGGUUUGGCACAGUUAUAUGCGAAAGACACUGCUCUUAUUGAUAAACAAGAACUCGAUGAAGAUCUGCAACAUAAAGAUUCAAGUUGCUUUCCGCACGGAUGAAAUCCAAAGAACUCCACCUGCACAACAAGAUGAAAUGAGAGCGGCUUUGAGCUACUACCAUGAGACAACCUGGAAAUGAGUUCUGAAGUUCUUGAAGCGUGUUCCUACAGCUCUGAAGAACAUUGGAAUUAAUUAGUGUUCCUUACGAUGCACCUCUUAUUCAAAUCUAUUCCUUGGAUGGGUGGAGACUGUGAUGGUACACUCUUAAUUCUUUCUUUUCUUGAACAUUUGCUAAAUCCAGAAUCUGGUGUGAUGUAUGCUUACUAGGUUCGAGGUGGGGAAUCCAUACACUCAUUAACCUUUACUUUUUGCAAUUUAAAUUUGAAGAGUCUCAUAACGGCUUUAUGUGUCAAUGACUGACUGCUAAAGUCUUUUAUAACUGAUACUGAAUCACAACUUCUUCAUA